CCUACGGGUGGCUGCAGUGGGGAAUAUUGCACAAUGGGCGCAAGCCUGAUGCAGCCAUGCCGCGUGUGUGAAGAAGGCCUUCGGGUUGUAAAGCACUUUCAGCGGGGAGGAAGGCGGUGAGGUUAAUAACCUCAUCGAUUGACGUUACCCGCAGAAGAAGCACCGGCUAACUCCGUGCCAGCAGCCGCGGUAAUACGGGGGGUGCAAGCGUUAAUCGGAAUUACUGGGCGUAAAGCGCACGCAGGCGGUCUGUCAAGUCGGAUGUGAAAUCCCCGGGCUCAACCUGGGAACUGCAUUCGAAACUGGCAGGCUAGAGUCUUGUAGAGGGGGGUAGAAUUCCAGGUGUAGCGGUGAAAUGCGUAGAGAUCUGGAGGAAUACCGGUGGCGAAGGCGGCCCCCUGGACAAAGACUGACGCUCAGGUGCGAAAGCGUGGGGAGCAAACAGGAUUAGAUACCCCUGUAGUC
rnacentral:rRNA from 1 species